rnacentral:misc_RNA from 1 species
AAGUCGUAACAAGGUUUCCGUAGGUGAACCUGCGGAAGGAUCAUUGACAAAUCUAAACAGUUGCGUCUAGCAAGUGUGCAAGCUUCGGCUUGUGCGCUUCUAGGUGUCAACAAAUUCUAACCUGUGAAUCGCAGCAUACGCAAGUGUGUUGUUUGCUGCUGUGGAUUUGUAGAGUCAUUCUGCAUUUCUCUCAGUACGCAUAAAUCUACGUAACAAAUGUCUUAGAAAUCAAAACUAAAUACAACUUUUAGCAAUGGAUCUCUUGGCUUCU